AAGUCUACUUGAUGUAUGGUCAAUCGUUGCUCGCCUAUCGGAAGGGGGAAACAAACAUGGCAACCAAAUUAGAGAACAAGCUACGACGAAAAUGUGAAGACCAUAAAAUACGUUUUGAGAUCACCCAGCUCGAUAUGUUGCGAACUUUGGUACGAGGUUGACCAAAAAAAUGUUGUCCUAGACUGACCCACAGACAAAUGUUAAUAUGUGUUUUAUGGUGGUAAAAAAGAAAGUAAUCGCCUCAAUGAAAACAUAACUAAUAUUCAUGACCAGUACUGUAAAUUUGCUUCAAAAAAUUAAAAUUUCUUGGUAAAUAAAUUGUGAUUUUCCCGGAAUUAAUCGACUACUGAAAGAUA